UGUGUUUGUCUGUAUGGUUUCAUCAUGAACAUGGAAGUUAUCAUUGGAGGAGUUAAGAAGUGUGUUGGUGAUGAAGAUGUUCCGUUGGACCCCACCGACCUACAGCUGCUGAUCAGGUUCCGCCUUGACUCUAUCCUUCUCUGAACGGUUCCAGCGUGACUGUUUCGCGGUCGAGUGGGGCAUUUGGGAUUAGACUUCUCGAGAUAACAGCUGUUGCCAUCAGAAUGCCUUGCUGCUGCUUCUCAGAAGUGGGCGUGGCGUUCUAUAUCUGCAAGUUCGACUGGCACUUUACCCUUCUCUGAAAGGUUCCAGGAUGACCAUUUCACAGUCCAGUGGAACCAUUUAGUAUCACAUAUCUCGAGGAAGGUGCUGUUGCCACAAAAAUGCCUCGCUGGGGCUUCUCAGAUGGGCUAUCAGCGUUUGUGUGGAUGGUUCCAUUGUGAUAAGGGAAUACACCAAUCGUGGAGUGCAGAAGAUCUGUGUUGAUGAAGAUGUGGUGUUGGCACCACAUGUACUUGCAGCUGUGGCUCAGGGGCAACUGGAGGUGACUGGGCAACUUUAAAGUGGAGAAUGACUGAACGAUGCGGAUAAAGAACGGGCUUCCAGCUUCCAGCUUCGUAGCAUCCCAUCGCAGAGUUCCGCCUUGACUCUAUCCUUCUCUGAACGGUUCCAGCGUGACUGUUCCGCGGUCGAGUGGGGCAUUUGGGAUUAGACUUGUCGAGAUAACAGCUGUUGCCAUCAGAAUGCCUUGCUGCUGCU